rnacentral:rRNA from 1 species
UUGACGGGGAGCACCACAACGGGUGGAGCUUGCGGUUUAAUUGGAUUCAACGCCGGAAAUCUUACCGGGACCGACAGCAAUAUGAAGGCCAGGCUGAAGACUUUGCCGGAUUAGCUGAGAGGUGGUGCAUGGCCGUCGUCAGUUCGUACUGUGAAGCAUCCUGUUAAGUCAGGCAACGAGCGAGACCCACGCCCACAGUUGCCAGCGUACUCUCUGGAGUGACGGGUACACUGUGGGACCGCCGCUGCUAAAGCGGAGGAAGGAAUGGGCAACGGUAGGUCAGUAUGCCCCGAAUAUCCCGGGCUACACGCGAGCUACAAUGGUUGGUACAAUGGGUAUCUACCCCGAAAGGGGACGGGAAUCUCCUAAAACCAAUCUUAGUUCGGAUUGAGGGCUGCAACUCGCCUACAUGAAGUCGGAAUCGCUAGUAAUCGCGGAUCAGCACGCCGCGGUGAAUACGUUCCCGGGCCUU